CCUACGGGAGGCAGCAGUGGGGAAUAGUGGGCAAUGGGCGCAAGCCUGACCCAGCAACGCCGCGUGAAGGAAGAAGGCUUUCGGGUUGUAAACUUCUUUUAAGGGGGAAGAGCAGAAGACGGUACCCCUUGAAUAAGCCACGGCUAACUACGUGCCAGCAGCCGCGGUAAUACGUAGGUGGCAAGCGUUGUCCGGAUUUACUGGGUGUAAAGGGCGUGCAGCCGGAGAGACAAGUCAGAUGUGAAAUCCACGGGCUCAACCCGUGAACUGCAUUUGAAACUUUUUCCCUUGAGUGUCGGAGAGGUAAUCGGCAUUCCUUGUGUAGCGGUGAAAUGCGUAGAUAUAAGGAAGAACACCAGUGGCGAAGGCGGAUUACUGGACGAUAACUGACGGUGAGGCGCGAAAGCGUGGGGAGCAAACAGGAUUAGAUACCCGUGUAGUC
rnacentral:rRNA from 1 species